UACGGGGGGGGCAAGCGUUGUUCGGAAUUACUGGGCGUAAAGGGCUCGUAGGCGGCCAACUAAGUCGAACGUGAAAUCCCCGGGCUCAACCCGGGAACUGCGUCCGAUACUGGCAGGCUUGAAUCCGGGAGAGGGAUGCGGAAUUCCAGGUGUAGCGGUGAAAUGCGUAGAGACGCGGAGGAACACCGAUGGCGAAGGCAGCCCCCUGGGCUGACACUGACGCUCAGGCACGAAAGCGUGGGGAGCAAACAGG
rnacentral:rRNA from 1 species